rnacentral:rRNA from 1 species
AUGAGCAGCCAGGGGUUCGGCCCCGGGAGCCCCAAGUCCUUCCGCUACCCUAGAGCCGACUACGAUCUCGAGUCCGGGAUCCCCCGCAAGGGCCGCAAGCCCAAGGCCUCGCAUCUCGACGCCCCCGCCCCCCUCAGCUCGGCGCUGAUGAGGAUCCGCUUCUUCUACGAGGCGCACCCCGUCGCGGUCGCCCUCAUCCUGCUGUCCUUCGGGCUGAGCGUCCUGAUCCUCCUGUCCGUGUACGAGACCCGGUUCAGGACGAUGAGGAGCGGUGGCAAUGAGGUCGGGGCGCACCCGCUUCCGGGCCUUCGCAACCUCGUCAUGGUGGCCGGCCAUUCGAUAUACACCAGCGCGAGCUGCGGGAAGACCGACCGCGAGGAUUCGUGGUUCUUGGAGCCGUACCAGAAGCACCCCGGCCAGGCGGCCACCUUCUUGGCGCACAUCAAGGAGGGGGUGGAGAUCGCGGCGAGGGAUCAGGGCUCGCUCCUCUUGUUUAGCGGUGGGGAGACGAGGAAAGAUGCAGGGCCGAGGAGCGAGGCGCAGAGCUACUGGGCUAUUGCAGAGUCGGAAGGCUGGUUUGGAAAUGAUGAUAGUGUAAGGAGCCGGGCACUGACCGAGGAGCAUGCACGAGAUAGUUUUGAAAAUCUCCUAUUUAGCGUUUGCCGUUUCAGAGAACUCACCGGAACAUACCCACAGAAUAUAACUGUCGUAAGCUAUGAUUUUAAGGAGGAAAGGUUUGCACAACUGCACAGGUCUGCACUCGGGUUCCCAGAAGAAAGGUUCUUCUUCUCAGGUACCCCAGCUACAGCUACAGCAAAGGAGGCAGCUCUGAAAGGCGAAGCCUCUGUCAGGUCUCAGUUCCAAGAAGAUCCAUAUGGAUGUGUUGGUUCUCUUCGUGUAAAGAGGCUCAAGAGAGACCCGUUUCACCGGACCAUUCCAUACCCCAAUGGCUGCCCUGAAUUGAAGGGUCUAUUCUCCUAUUGCGGUAUGGUGCCAUACUCUGGGAACCUUCCUUGGACUCAGUAG